AUUGUUGCCGCCCCACUUUUGGGUGCAGGCGUGGGUGCAUGUGGGCACCUAGUUAGGCACCAAUCCUUUCUCUCUUAGGACUCCUUUGAUAAAAUAUGGAUUAAUUCAAAGUUUAUUUGAAUUAAAAAUUUUAGUCUUAUGGGUCAUGAAAAAUCAUCUAUAAAUAGGAGGACCUCUAACUAUCAUGGCAUAACAAUUGGAUUGUAUGCUAAGGAGAGAAAGAGAGAGAGAGAGAG
rnacentral:lncRNA from 1 species